rnacentral:rRNA from 1 species
GUGAGGAAUAUUGGUCAAUGGGCGGGAGCCUGAACCAGCCAAGUCGCGUGAAGGAAGAAGGAUCUAUGGUUCGUAAACUUCUUUUGUAGGGGAAUAAAGUGCAGGACGUGUCCUGUUUUGUAUGUACCCUGAGAAUAAGGAUCGGCUAACUCCGUGCCAGCAGCCGCGGUAAUACGGAGGAUCCGAGCGUUAUCCGGAUUUAUUGGGUUUAAAGGGUGCGUAGGUGGUUUGAUAAGUCAGCGGUGAAAGUUUGCAGCUUAACUGUAAAAAUGCCGUUGAAACUGUCGGACUUGAGUGUAAAUGAGGUAGGCGGAAUGCGUGGUGUAGCGGUGAAAUGCAUAGAUAUCACGCAGAACUCCGAUUGCGAAGGCAGCUUACUAAGCUACAACUGACACUGAAGCACGAAAGCGUGGGGAUCAAACAGGAUUAGAUACCCGGGUAGUCC